rnacentral:tRNA from 1 species
UCCCUGGUGGUCCAGUGGUUAAGACUCUGCACUUCCACUGCAAGGGACAUGGGUUCGAUCCCUGGCUGGGAAA